GUCUCCAGCCAUCCCACCCUGAACGCACCCGAUCUCAUCUGAUGUUGGAGGAAUCAUUUAUGGGCAGCCGGACUGAAUGCUGCAGACA
rnacentral:rRNA from 1 species